UGACAGAAAUUCAGUUUAGAUCUGUUCUCCAAAGUGAAUACUACUGAGACAUUACUGCACUCCCUACAAACAUUUUACCACAAGAGGAAAUCGCGCUAGAACAAUGAAAAAAAUAGAGAGAAAUUGAAGAAAGAAAGCUCAGAAGAGACAAGAAAGAUGAAUAAAAAAGACAAAAUAAGUAAACUCAGCUUGUCUUACAUCAGAUUUAGUGAAUAUGGACAAAAAAGCAGAGAUCAUGGACAAAAUGCCCAGCUCUCCUGUUCUCCGUAAACUCAGAGACCACUGAGAUUACCAACAUACCUGUGUCAGAAGGCAGGUCUCCUGACUAUCUCUUUGAUAAACUGUAUUUGUAUCACUUA